GAUCAGGGGCUGCUCUGUGCUGCCCCAGCAGAAACCUCAAGAACACUCAACCCACUGGUGAUAAGAGGGCCCCUGUUACCUGAGCCAGCCAGCUGCUGCCAUGGCUGUGCUUUACUUUCCAGCCAGGGGAACUGCAGGAGUCAUUCUCCCUUGAAGCCCGUGCAGGGAAUCAGGUGCUCCCUCCACCUGCAGGGCGGCCACGGCCAUGCCUGUGACUCUACCGACAGCUGAGGGGACUCAGCCAGUGCAGGGCUCAGCUGUGUCUUAAAAGGGAUGGAGGGAAAAGCAGGAUUUCCUUGGAGACCUUCAAACACAGUUUGACUUCUCAGUUUGUGGUCCCAAAUGAGAUGGGAACCACCAGAAUCAACCAUGUGAUGCUGAAGCAGAGCAACUGGUAGUCUGAACUCCUGGGCUGCAGCCAUUCAAACCAGCAGGGAACAGGCAAAAUUAAACCAAACAAUAAUA